CGUUUCCCGUUAUUUUUCAUCCUUUAUAGUUUGACGAUAUAAAACUGUUUCAUAAUGAGAUGUCUUUUUUUUAUUAGCAAGUCGUGUCCACCGGCCGAUUGGAGUGGAUGUGUCUGUUAAAAGAGAUCGGAAACAUUCAAACUCAGAUCUUGGUGUACUUGUUCGAUUAAAAAAAAGAGUUGAAGAUGGCGAGAUCUCCGACAGAAAAACAUGCAUCAGAUCUGUACUUGUUCCAAUUAAACAUAUUUUGUCUUCGUCGCUGAUCUCGUUCUGUUAAAAGACAACAUUAGAUAACUGAUCUCUUUUUUUUUUUAUCUGUUUUGCAUGUUGGAUAUAAUAUAGAUCUAGAACCUUUUGUUAUAAAUAUAGCAGAUAUGAGAUGGAAGGGCGUUGCGAUGACUCGGAAGGAAACUGAUUUGUUUAAAUUGCAAUACUUACAACGCUGAUAUCAAUACUUUAAAGUGAAAUACAACCUCAAACUGACAUAAGAUACAACACUUGAGAGAUAAGGGACCUAAUGGAACAGCCGAGAAGUUAUCAAACGAAGUAUACAUGGGUAAUACAUUAAUUAGUACUAAAUUAUUAUAGUAUUAUAUUAGGAAUGUAACUAAUUUAUAUUAACCUUUUUCUCCCUUAUUCUUCUUAGUGACUUUUUUUUAACAUUGUGAGGUUUGUCAAUGGGAGUGUUGAAACAAUUCUGGCUUCAAAGGCAUAUGAAAGAUUUUUCAUUAAACAAUAAUCAAGGAAUUACUAGAUGAUAUCAUCGAUGCUAUGAACUACAACCAAUCAGAAAAAGUUAAGUGUUGUACUGAAUAGUGAAUACAAUAUAAACUAUUUUAUAUGUAUUCAUGGUUUCAUUGAAAAUGUAUUUAAUGAAUAUAUAGUAGUGAUACUAUGUAAACAGCAGGAUUUUUUUUCAACAGUUUACAUAGGCUAUGAGAAAUAUAAAGGAGAUAUGGAGAAUACCGUAAUGAGAUGAAGAGAAGAACCAGUGUGGGAGCUGAAUGAAUUCCACAUAUGCAGCACUUUCACUUGUACCCUUCAUUCAGUUUUGAAAGGAUGAACAUCACAUAACAUUCUGAUUUCGAGAUUGGAACCCAUAUUUUUUAUCUCACGGUAUAAAGAUUUUAGAUUUCAAAUAUAUUUUCCGUGUAUCA